GUUUGCAAAGAAAUUGAAAAGAUUUCUGGAUAUCCAGUAGGGACACACAAUUUGUAUUCAGAACCAGCUUCCGAAGUGACACCAUCCUGGAAAAUAUUUGAAGGAACAUGCCCUUCCCAAAGAGAGGAGAUGAGGAGACAGCUCACAUUCCAUAAAGAUCACCUUCUUGGAGACCAGUAAAUGCCUCAUUUGCAAGAUGUGCUGUUGCAGUGGAGGAAGGAGCCCACGAGAGGGCUCAGGGAAGCAGCCCUGGACCAGCAUCCCUGGGAAGCUCCUGGGCAGGAAAAAGCAGGGCCUUGAGGGAAAGCUCAUCUCUUCAAUCAUAUUCACCUUAAAACAUCUCGUCUAGGGCAAGCCAAUAAACAAGCAGUCCAAACAACAUCAGCUUUUAUUACCACGGGUAGUAUCACGCGUGUAUUUUUAAUCUUUUGCCUGUGUAUUUCUUACAAACUUUAUUAAUCCCGCGAAUGCUGCUGCAGGGAAUAUACGAUGGCACUUAGAGCUGAUGAAGCUCCCUCUCGGUUUUAUGGUGUCGGCACAGCAGGCUCCGCUCAGCACCACAUGAGCACAUUUAUAAAAAGCUUAUUACAGCACAU